UGAACGCUGGCGGCGUGGCUAAGACAUGCAAGUCGUGCGGGGUGUAGCAAUACAUCCAGUGGCGGACGGGUGAGUAAUGAAUCGCUAACGUACCCCGAUCUCCGGGAUAGCCGGCCGAAAGGCCGGGUAAUACCGGGUAACAUCGCCCCGCGGCAUCGCGGGGCGCUCGAAGGGCAACCGGUUCGGGAGCGGGCGAUUUCGUAUCAGCUAGUUGGUGGGGUAACGGCCCACCAAGGCGACGACGCGUAGCUGGUCUGAGAGGACGGCCAGCCACAUUGGGACUGAGACACUGCCCAGACUCCUACGGGGGGCUGCAGUAACGAAUCUUCCGCAAUGCACGCAAGUGUGACGGAGCGACGCCGCGUGGAGGUUAAGUCCUUCGGGAUGUAAACUCCUGUCAGGGGUUACCAAGUUCUGAGGAGCCCCAGAGGAAGGCACGGCUAACUCUGUGCCAGCAGCCGCGGUAAUACAGAGGUGCCAAGCGUUAGGCGGAAUCACUGGGCUUAAAGCGCGUGUAGGCGGGUCGUUAAGUGUCUUGUGAAAUCCCACGGCUCAACCGUGGAACUGCUGGGCAUACUGACGAUCUUGAGGCACUCAGGGGCCGUCGGAACAAAUGGUGGAGCGGUGAAAUGCGUAGAUAUCAUUUGGAACGCCAACGGCGAAAGCAGACGGCUGGGGGUGUCCUGACGCUGAGACGCGAAAGCCAGGGGAGCGAACGGGAUUAGAUACCCCGGUAGUCCUGGCCCUAAACGAUGUCCACUAGGCCGCGGCGGCUCUGACGCCGUCGCGGCCGGAGCAAAAGUGUUAAGUGGACCGCCUGGGAAGUACGGUCGCAAGGCUAAAACUCAAAGGAAUUGACGGGGGCUCACACAAGCGGUGGAGCAUGUGGUUUAAUUCGAAGCAACGCGCGGAACCUUACCUGGGCUUGACAUGCCCGGAUUAUCCUUGUGAAAGCAGGGUACAGCCCGCAAGGGCCGGAACGGGUACAGGUGCUGCAUGGCUGUCGUCAGCUCGUGUCGUGAGAUGUCGGGUUAAGUCCCUUAACGAGCGAAACCUUUGCCCUUAGUUACCAGCGGGUCAUGCCGGGGACUCUAAGGGGACUGCCGGUGUCAAACCGGAGGAAGGUGGAGAUGACGUCAAGUCCUCAUGGCCUUUAUGCCCAGGGCCACACACGUGCUACAAUGGGACGGACAGAGCGAACCUAACCCGCGAGGGCAUGGAAAUCGCACAAAUCGUCCCUCAGUUCAGAUCGGAGGCUGCAACCCGCCUCCGUGAAGCUGGAAUCGCUAGUAAUCGCGUAUCAGCCACGACGCGGUGAAUGUGUUCCUGAGCCU
rnacentral:rRNA from 1 species